rnacentral:lncRNA from 1 species
CAGUGUUGUCCACCUGGUUUAAAUCUCUGUCUGUUUGUCUCCUCUCUUCUCUGCAGGUCAUCAGAGCAGUGCUGGUGUCUCCUGUCCAUAUCAGACACAGUGUUGUCCACCUGGUUUAAAUCUCUGUCUGUUUGUCUCCUCUCUUCUCUGCAGGUCAUCAGAGCAGUGCUGGUGUCUCCUGUCCAUAUCAGACACAGUGUUGUCCACCUGGUUUAAAUCUCUGUCAGAUGCAUUGUGUAUUCUAUUUCCUGUCAGUGAUGUUAUCCAGGUGGAGUAUUCUAUAUCCUGUCAGUGAUGUUAUCCAGGUAGAGUAUUCUAUAUCCUGUCAGUGAUGUUGUAUUCUAUAUCCUGUCAGUGAUGUUAUCCAGGUAGAGUAUUCUAUUUCCUGUCAGUGAUGUUAUCCAUGUAGAGUAUUCUAUAUCCUGUCAGUGAUGUUAUCCAGGUAGAGUAUUCUAUAUCCUGUCAGUGAUGUUGUCCAGGUAGAGUAUUCUAUUUCCUGUCAGUGAUAUUGUAUUCUAUAUCCUGUCAGUGAUGUUGUCCAGGUAGAGUAUUCUAUAUCCUGUCAGUGAUGUUAUCCAGGUAGAGUAUUCUAUAUCCUGUCAGUGAUGUUGUAUUCUAUAUCCUGUCAGUGAUGUUAUCCAGGUAGAGUAUUCUAUAUCCUGUCAGUGAUGUUGUCCAGGUAGAGUAUUCUAUUUCCUGUCAGUGAUGUUGUAUUCUAUUUCCUGUCAGUGAUGUUGUCCAGGUAGAGUAUUCUAUUUCCUGUCAGUGAUGUUAUCCAGGUAGAGUAUUCUAUAUCCUGUCAGUGAUGUUGUCCAGGUAGAGUAUUCUAUAUCCUGUCAGUGAUGUUGUCCAGGUAGAGUAUUCUAUAUCCUGUCAGUGAUGUUAUCCAGGUAGAGUAUUCUAUAUCCUGUCAGUGAUGUUAUCCAGGUAGAGUAUUCUAUAUCCUGUCAGUGAUGUUAUCCAGGUAGAGUAUUCUAUAUCCUGUCAGGGAUGUUGUCCAGGUAGAGUAUUCUAUAUCCUGUCAGUGAUGUUGUCCAGGUAGAGUAUUCUAUAUCCUGUCAGGGAUGUUGUAUUCUAUAUCCUGUCAGUGAUGUUGUCCAGGUAGAGUAUUCUAUAUCCUGUCAGUGAUGUUGUCCCUAAUGGAAAGGCAUGUCAGAGCCCUGUCCUCCAGUGAGUCAUGUUUUCUCAUCUUUUCCAUUGUGAAUUUCAUCCGUUUCUCCUCUCAGAGGUAAAAGACAGUGAUGGUGUUUUCUAUCCGAUGCUUGUUAGCUGAGGAGGUCUCCAGCGGUCGGAGGAUGGUAUACCGCGGGGUGUUUCAGGAAGC